rnacentral:rRNA from 1 species
AAAAAAACUCUCGGUAACAGAUAUCUCAGCUCUCGCAUCGAUGAAGAANGNAGCGAAAUACGAUACUUGGUGUGAAUUGCAGAAUCCCGUGAACCAUCGAGUCUUUNAACGCGAGUUGCGCCUGGAGCUAUUAGGCCGAGGGCACGUCUGCCUGGGCAUCAUGC